UACGAAGGGGGCUAGCGUUGCUCGGAAUCACUGGGCGUAAAGCGCACGUAGGCGGCUUUUUAAGUCAGGGGGUGAAAUCCUGGAGCUCAACUCCAGAACUGCCUUUGAUACUGGAGAGCUAGAGUCCGGAAGAGGUGAGUGGAACUGCGAGUGUAGAGGUGAAAUUCGUAGAUAUUCGCAAGAACACCAGUGGCGAAGGCGGCUCACUGGUCCGGUACUGGACGCUGAGGUGCGAAAGCGUGGGGAGCAACAGGAUUAGAAACCCUGAG
rnacentral:rRNA from 1 species